rnacentral:tRNA from 1 species
GCCCGGUUGGUGUAAUGGUUAACACAUCAGUCUUACUCACUGAAAAUGGCAGUUCAAUUCUGCCACCGGGUU